ACUGCUGCACCAAGGAAACAGAGCGUGUAAGAGGACAGCAAACAUAGAAGAAUGGUUCAAAACACACAAAGGAGACUUCAUUCGGCAUGGUUCCAAAAAAAAAAAAAGGUUUGUAUGUGUGAAAUGAGUCUUUUGUGUGGUGCUCAAUAGUAUCCAGAAGUUUCCUCCCAUGCAUUUCUCACAAAUUAAAAGGAAACUUCAUUCGGCACCUAAAUAGGCUGUGAGUACAGGAUCCGGAUCGAGUGAGGUUAUCCUUAUCUAAAUGGGACCUAAUGACCCUACAGACCUUGUGGAUUACUACAGCCAGCCCCUAUAUUUCCAUAGUACAUGACAAAAGCCUCCCCUCCUUUUUUUUAUUAUUUAGUAAUCACCGAAGUGGAAAUGUGCAGCGAAGUGGAGUCGCUGCCAGUUGUGCCAGAGAGCAUCAAAGUCCAGUAAGCAUGUUUCUGUCUACUCCUUUUUUUAGCGCCUACGUAGCAACUUCCGAAAGGUGGAAAGAAACUUGGGGUCGCUAGAGGCAGCGUUCUCCUGUUCGGAGUAGUGUUUGGGCUGAAACAAAGCUUGUUGUUUGCAGCUAUGCUUCCAUUGGUUUCGCCACAAAAGGCAAGCAAGCAAGAAGCACAGGCGGCAAUAAGGCCAGAAGCACAGGGGUGGGGGGAACCGCUCUAAUGGCGAGCAAGCAAUCAAGAGUCAAGCAAACAGAUACUGGGAAGACGAAGACGACGGUGACGAGAAGAAGUCAACGAGGCAAUAAUUGUACGUGAGCAAAGCAACUGAGCUUGCGGUUGCGGCAAGGAAGAACUGGCAAUCCAGCACCAGCAGCAGCAGUGAAGCGAACAGAUGCUCAGAGAAGAGAAGAAGCCGAGCAAGCACACAGCAGGGAAGACCGGCAAGCUAGAACUUACCAAGAGAAGGAGAAGCAUCAGGCCCACCCCAGCUUCCUCGAACUCUGUCGGGACAGGGAAAGAAAGAGGAGAGUGGAGAGAAGUAUCAGCACUGAGAGACUGAGAGGGUGUGAAGACAAUGGAAUGGUCAAAAUUUAUCGGAGCGCUCACUGGAUCGCGCGCGAACGGCUUGGAUUGGCUGCCGUGCAGUACAGAUUCUCCAUCCACUUGAUUGAUAUAUCUGAACCGUCCGCUUGUAAUCCUAGGGCUGUCGAUGCUGAGGCUCA